rnacentral:rRNA from 1 species
AUUGAACGCUGGCGGCAGGCCUAACACAUGCCAGUCGAACGAGUGGCGGACGGGUGAGUAAUGUCUGGGAACCUGCCCGAUGGAGGGGGAUAACUACUGGCAACGGUAGCUAAUACCGCAUACCAUCGGAUGUGCCCAGAUUGGAUUAGCUAGUAGGUGGGGUAACGGCUCACCUAGGCGACGAUCCCUAGCUGGUCUGAGGGGAUGACCAGCCACACGGGAACUGAUACACGGUCCAGACUCCUACGGGAGGCAGCAGUGGGGAAUAUUGCACAAUGGGCGCAAGCCUGAUGCAGCCAUGCCGCGUGUAUGAAGAAGGCCUUCGGGUUGUAAAGUACUUUCAGCGAGGAGGCGUUACUCGCAGAAGAAGCACCGGCUAACUCCGUGCCAGCAGCCGCGGUAAUAC